AUGGCUCUCAGCCAGUUCUCACCCCCGCCCUCUAGGUGCCGGCCACCUUCCCAGGUGCUCGCGCUGCAGCAGAGGACAGAGCACACGAUGCCUGAGCAAACAGAUCAUUCCAGGUUGGGCCGUCUCCCCCAUGAGGGCUGGGACCAACCCAGCCAGGGCGGUCAGGAAAGGCCCUUCAAGGGAGGUGACGUGGAGCUGAGACUGGAGUGCAAGUGGCCGUGUGGGGUCUGUGCGCAGAGCAUCCAUCCCGGCAGAGGGUGGUCCAGGCCCCGAGGAGGAAACAGGCUCGGCGACAGAAGAGAGAAAAGGCUGGUGGGGCUGGAGCACGUUGUGUACACGGCAGGGUGGGGGCGCGAGGACAUGAGGCAGAGAAGUGGGCAGAGUCACCAUGACCCAGCCAAACAGACCUGGCCUGGGUCCCCUCUUCUUCAUUCUUCUGCCAUGUGCGUCCCCAUCUUCGUCUCCUGGGAUCCUUUCGGGGNGUGUGGGGUCUGUGCGCAGAGCAUCCAUCCCGGCGACAGAAGAGAGAAAAGGCUGGUGGGGCUGGAGCACGUUGUGUACACGGCAGGGUGGGGGCGCGAGGACAUGAGGCAGAGGGGCAGAGUCACCAUGACCCAGCCAAACAGACCUGGCCUGGGUCCCCUCUUCUUCAUUCUUCUGCCAUGUGCGUCCCCAUCUUCGUCUCCUGGGAUCCUUUUGGGGAGCAUUCACCUGCCCCAGGGACCCCCACUUUAUCUCACAGGACGGCUUUGCUCUCUUCAGGUCCCGGGACCAUGCACUUCCUGUCAUAUUAAUUAUUCACGUGCACUCCCCUCAGGUCUGUCCCGUGCCUCCAGGCCUUUGCACAUGCUGUUCCUCUAUCCGAACACCCUUCCUCCAUCUUCUCCCCCUGGUGAGCUCCAGCAAGGCCCAGUUCAGCAUCACCCCUGCUGGGAAGGCUUCUCUGACUCCAAACAGAGCUGGCCCCCGUCCUCCAUGUCCCCACAAGGUCAUCGCCUUGCUGGUCCCGUCUUAGCAGAGCACGGGCCCAGUCACCAGCGGCUGAGUGGAGUGGCGUUGGGCCAACCAUGUCCCCAACAAGCCCCUUGUUCUCCCUCCAGGUCUUCACCCAGCCAUCCCACACUCCUGGAGAGCCGUUCCUCCUCCUCUCACCUAUCCAGGCUCCACCCCCAUGCCACCUCCUCCAGGAAGCCCUCGCUGAUCCUCCGGCCCCCAGGCCCAGCCUACAGACCCUUUUGUUUCCCUAGGUGCCUCCACUGA
rnacentral:lncRNA from 1 species